GAACGUACGCUGGCGGCACGCCUAACACAUGCAAGUCGAACGAAGUAGCAAUACUUAGUGGCAGACGGGUGAGUAACAUGUAGGUAUCUGCCCUUUGGCCUGGAAUAACACGAGGAAACUUGUGCUAAUACCGGAUAAGUCUUUACGGAGAAAGCUUUAUGCACCAUUGGAUGAGCCUGCACUUGAUUAGUUUGUUGGUGGGGUAAUGGCCUACCAAGACUGUGAUCAAUAGCUGAUUUGAGAGGAUGAUCAGCCACAUUGGGACUGAGACACGGCCCAAACUCCUACGGGAGGCAGCAGUGGGGAAUCUUGCACAAUGGAGGAAACUCUGAUGCAGCGAUGCCGCGUGAGUGAAGAAGGCCUUUGGGUUGUAAAGCUCUUUCGUCGGGGAAGAAAAUGACUGUACCCGAAUAAGAAGGUCCGGCUAACUUCGUGCCAGCAGCCGCGGUAAUACGAAGGGACCUAGCGUAGUUCGGAAUUACUGGGCUUAAAGAGUUCGUAGGUGGUUGAAAAAGUUAGUGGUGAAAUCCCAGAGCUUAACUCUGGAACUGCCAUUAAAACUUUUCAGCUAGAGUAUGAUAGAGGAAAGCAGAAUUUCUAGUGUAGAGGUGAAAUUCGUAGAUAUUAGAAAGAAUACCAAUUGCGAAGGCAGCUUUCUGGAUCAUUACUGACACUGAGGAACGAAAGCAUGGGUAGCGAAGAGGAUUAGAUACCCUCGUAGUCCAUGCCGUAAACGAUGUGUGUUAGACGUUGGAAAUUUAUUUUCAGUGUCGCAGCGAAAGCGAUAAACACACCGCCUGGGGAGUACGACCGCAAGGUUAAAGCUCAAAUGAAUUGACGGGGACCCGCACAAGUAGUGGAGCAUGUGGUUUAAUUCGAAGAUACGCGCAGAACCUUACCAACACUUGACAUGUUCGUCGCGACUCUAAGAGAUUAGAGUUUUCGGUUCGGCCGGACGAAACACAGGUGCUGCAUGGCUGUCGUCAGCUCGUGUCGUGAGAUGUUGGGUUAAGUCCCGCAACGAGCGCAACCCUCACUUUUAGUUGCCAGCAUUAAGUUGGGCACUCUGAAAGAACUGCCAGUGAUAAGCUGGAGGAAGGUGGGGAUGACGUCAAGUCCUCAUGGCCCUUACGUGUUGGGCUACACACGUGCUACAAUGGCAUCUACAACAGGAAGCAAAACGGCAACGUUAAGCAAAUCCCGAAAAGAUGCCUCAGUUCGGAUUGCACUCUGCAACUCGAGUGCAUGAAGCUGGAAUUACUAGUAAUCGUGGAUCAGCGUGCCACGGUGAAUGCGUUCCCGGGUCUUGUACACACC
rnacentral:rRNA from 1 species